rnacentral:rRNA from 1 species
UACGUAGGGGGCAAGCGUUGUCCGGAUUUACUGGGCGUAAAGAGCUCGUAGGCGGUUCGGUAAGUCGGGUGUGAAACCUCCAGGCUCAACCUGGAGACGCCACCUGAUACUGCUGUGACUCGAGUCCGGUAGGGGAGCGUGGAAUUCCUGGUGUAGCGGUGAAAUGCGCAGAUAUCAGGAGGAACACCAGCGGCGAAGGCGGCGCUCUGGGCCGGAACUGACGCUGAGGAGCGAAAGCGUGGGUAGCAAACGGG